CAUUAUAUACCUAUAUCAGCAAAUCAUACAAAUAGCAGCUCAUUCUUCCAUCAUGUUUCAUAUAUACACAUGUAUAAAUAAUAUGUGCAUAUACAUCACUGUAUAAGAAGAAGAAAGAAAAAUCGAGUCUUUUAAAGCCUUGUCUUCCUUCGAUUUGAACCUUGCUGAGUCGAGUCAGGGGAGAGUGGAUUGACGGCGGCGGCCACGACUGUUCCCUG
rnacentral:lncRNA from 1 species